rnacentral:rRNA from 1 species
CCUACGGGUGGCAGCAGUGGGGGAUAUUGCACAAUGGGGGAAACCCUGAUGCAGCGACGCCGCGUGGGUGAAGAAGUAUUUCGGUAUGUAAAGCCCUAUCAGCAGGGAAGAAAGAAGACGGUACCUGACUAAGAACCCCCGGCUAACUACGUGCCAGCAGCCGCGGUAAUACGUAGGGGGCGAGUGUUAUCCGGAUUCACUGGGUGUAAAGGGAGCGUAGACGGCCGUGCAAGCCAGGAGUGAAAGCCCGGGGCCCAACCCCGGGACUGCUGUUGGAACUGUGCGGCUGGAGUGCGGGAGGGGCAGGCGGAAUGCCUGGUGUAGCGGUGAAAUGCGUAGAUAUCAGGAGGAACACCGGCGGCGAAGGCGGCCUGCUGGACCGCGACUGACGUUGAGGCUCGAAAGCGUGGGGAGCGAACAGGAUUAGAUACCCUAGUAGUC